rnacentral:lncRNA from 1 species
UGAGAAAUGUCAGAAUUUUCAAAAUAGGUUUUAGUUUUCCAAUGCACUAUAAGCUUCAGAAUAAUGUUGGUUUUCUCUCUAUAGUGCUCUCUUCAGAUUCUUUCACAGAUAUGCCUCCAUCUUCAUCCAGGCCUACAUUUGCACUUGUAAUUUUCUGCACAAUGUCUUCAUCAAUAAGUAACAUUUCUAUUAUUGCAUUUUCAUCACAGAAGAUGGUCUUCAAUUAUGACAUUAUCAGCUACAGUAAAAAUUUCCAGGUUUAUUGAUCCAUGAGCAAAUAUGUAAGUGUCUUGCUGUUAUUUUCUGCAACAGAACUAUUGUCAUUAUAAUGAAAAAUAUCAUUUUCCAGUAAUUAGAAUCCAGAGAACAAGUAUUUAGCAUCAUUUGCUCAGCACUGCUGAAAUCAACUAGUUUGUAGGUCACUUGUUUUUUGUUAAUGUUUAUAAGCAUGUUAGAAACAAGAUGAUUCCUGUAAGAGUAUUUAAGAGUGGUUGCAGCAUAGAGGCAAAAUUUUUUGGAAAAUAUAAAACUUUUGAUAUUAAUUAUUAAGUAAUGCAAGAACAUUAUUAUUUUAUGGGGAUGGACAAUUAUCCACAAAUAUCAAAAUGUUGCACUUCUGUUGUGCAAAUUUUUCUAUCAGUUUUUAGGAGCCAGU